GCUUUCAGAGGGGAGAGCCCCACCGGCCUUAGGAGCCGGCCAUUCUUGGCCCUACCCAAGUGAAAGCU
rnacentral:tRNA from 1 species